CUCACUUACAAUACAUUCAUCUGUCAUUCAGUUGAUGCUUAGACGGACAGCAUGGAGGUUACCGCUCUCUGCGUCAGACUGUGGUCGGUCUGCGUUUCCUCAAAGACGUCACAGCCAAGAUUACACUCAGGUGAAACAGAAACAGUGUCUGGACUGACGAGUGUAG